GGAGCAGAGACAGCACAGCUCCCCCUGCGGCCGACAGCACAGACAGCUGUCUGCCCGGCCCCAGGUGCCGACGGCCCACCGGAAAAUUUUGCGGUGGGCCAGUCCUGCCCUGGUCCCAGGUCCCUUAAUCCUGCAAUGGUAAUUACUGCAGUUUAUAUUUUGUUUGCAGUGUUAACUCCACCUCGAGUGGCGGACUACUAGACAGCAACUAGAAGGACUUCCGGGUUGUUAGGUCAAUUUUGGUUACCUGGCGCUGGAUGUCCUCACGCUAUGCAUGAGGUCAUCCAGCAUAACAAAAACCCCCACAGGGGGUGCAAUUUUGUUUUCAUUGCUCUAUAGUUUCCAUUUAAAUCUCUUGAUGCAAUUUUUCUCUCUAUUGAGUUAUUUGCUAAAACGUGACUUGUUCGAUAGUCACAGAAAACUGCAAAUUUUAGCUAAAAUAGAUGUGCUGGAAACAUCAGUGGCUGGGAGUUUGUUUUUGGUUUGUCUUUUCGAACUUUUCAAACGGCAAAUCUUCAUUUCUUUCAUCGAAUAACCUCAAAUAGUACUCUUAUCCUGUCAACAUCAUGAGUCUCUGUAGGAUUUAAUCACCUAUAGUGUAGUAAUUGGAAACUGAAUUACGAUCUGUUGUUAAAAAGAAAAAUAAUUUCAAUCAACAUAUAGAAUGAUCUAAAGAAAAUACUCUACCAUCAAACAUGGGUGGGAAGUUUAUUUUAUUCAAUUCUAUGUCUUGAACAGUUAUUUAUUUUAAUCAUUCACUUCCAUUUGGAGUGAUAAGUAUUUCUUAGUUUGCAGUUGGAGGCGGGAGAAACCUUGAUUUAUUUAUUUUCUGUUCAUUGUUUGGUAUUUCAAUGCCUAACUUUUUAAAUCAACUUUCCUUUAUUAAAAAAAAAAAAAAGGUUGUAGUAAUAACCCAAGUUUUACAUUUCAAUUUGUAAUGCAAGUGGUUUUCAGAACUCAUUAUACACUCCUUUUCUUUCUGAUACGUUCCUGUGUGUUCAUGUUGUUGUGGCUGUGGAUUUCUUUCGCAGGCCGUGUUCCCUCCUGCCUCCAUGGAAGGCUGUUCACACAAAGCACUUGGUUCAUUGCAAACGAUUUGGCAUCUAAAGUCUUUCAGGGUUAUUUAAUAAAUGUGAGAAUUCAAAGUGAAUCUCAAAUUUAAGGCCAGAGUAACCAAACAAAGCAUAGCCGAUUUAGAGAAUUUUUCUAGUUUGGCUAUUUUGCCCAUAAAUUUAAAAUUCACUUUGAAUUCUAACAUUAGCAAAAAUCCAUGGAAGAGACACAGAAUACCCUUAAAAUUGCAUCCCCAAACACGACACCUAUUUAAACUUUAGACAAUACUGGAACAUGCAGCUAGCAGAAAACACCUGAUGCAGCAAUGCUGGUUCUUAACUAACCUGUAUGUAAUUUUUAGAUAAACUUUUACAAUGGUUUGAUAUUU